rnacentral:tRNA from 1 species
UUUUAAUAGCUUAUAUUAAUAGCAUAAUAUUGAAGAUAUUAAGGAAAAAUAGUUCUUUAAAAUA